rnacentral:rRNA from 1 species
GGACGAACGCUGGCGGCGUGCUUAACACAUGCAAGUCGAGCGGUAAGGCCCUUUCGGGGGUACACGAGCGGCGAACGGGUGAGUAACACGUGGGUGACCUGCCCUCAGCUCUGGGAUAAGCCUGGGAAACUGGGUCUAAUACUGGAUAUGACUCCACGGUGCAUGUCGUGGGGUGGAAAGCCUUGUGCGGCUGAGGAUGGGCCCGCGGCCUAUCAGCUUGUUGGUGGGGUGANGGCCUACCAAGGCGACGACGGGUAGCCGGCCUGAGAGGGCGACCGGCCACACUGGGACUGAGACACGGCCCAGACUCCUACGGGAGGCAGCAGUGGGGAAUCUUGCGCAAUGGGCGAAAGCCUGACGCAGCGACGCCGCGUGAGGGAUGACGGCC